CAGCCCUGUAUUCAUGGUCACGACCACGCAGCGCGUGCUCGUCCUGAGACUCAACCGAGACGUUGAUUUUGAGUGCCGUUCGUUGAGUGAGCUGACGAAUUUGGGAGAGAGCCUCGUGAGUUGUUGAGAGAGAGAGAGGAGCUGCUUCAACCGUGUAAGCCCUCUGUUAGCCUCCGACUGGUUUUUUUUGGACUUCAGAUUAGGAACGGAUUCAGAUUUCCGAACCUUUGGUUCGGUGGCGAGCCAGGACCCUGAUUAAGAGGAGCGGAGCGCGGUGUGGCCAGCCGUGGAUCCACUCAGGACCUCGAACCAUCAUCUCGUUCACUCACUGGCACAGAUAAGAUAUACAAAAACCUACCCGGGUAGUAUAUAGACAGAAUAUUGCAUACACCCUGAGGGACUUGAACUCUGACUUCUAGUGAAGAAGAAGGGACACUUUAAUUUUUUUUUUUUUUUAUAAGAGAGCUCUAUGUUUUUGUAUCAUUUAUUUUCCAUACACUGUCAAGAAAAUUGCGUGUUGCAAUAAAUUGUUAUACUCUAACCUCAUGUUCUCGCACUUGACUAACUACUCCCAACUAUCCGAA